AUACAGCUGAUGAGUCCCAAACAGAACGAAACGUGCGUCCUGGAU
rnacentral:hammerhead_ribozyme from 1 species